rnacentral:rRNA from 1 species
UUCCGGUUGAUCCCGCCGGAGGCCAUUGCUAUUGGGAUCCGAUUUAGCCAUGCUAGUUGUACGAGUUUAGACUCGUAGCGAAUAGCUCAGUAACACGUGGCCAAACUACCCUUCGGACCACGAUACCCUCGGGAAACUGAGGUUAAUAGUGUAUCCCACACUCAGACUGGAAUGUCGAGUGUGACAAACGCUCCGGCGCCGAAGGAUGUGGCUGCGGCCGAUUAGGUAGACGGUGGGGUAACGGCCCACCGUGCCAAUAAUCGGUACGGGUCAUGAGAGUGAGAACCCGGAGACGGAAUCUGAGACAAGAUUCCGGGCCCUACGGGGCGCAGCAGGCGCGAAACCUUUACACUGUACGCCAGUGCGAUAAGGGGAUCCCAAGUGCGCAGGCAUAGAGCCUGCGCUUUUGUUCACCCUAGGGAGGUGACCGAAUAAGGGCUGGGCAAGACCGGUGCCAGCCGCCGCGGUGAUACCGGCAGCCCGAGUGAUGGCCGAUCUUAUUGGGCCUAAAGCGUCCGUAGCUGGCCGCGCAAGUCCAUCGGGAAAUCCACCCGCCCAACGGGUGGCCGUCCGGUGGAAACUGCACGGCUUGGGACCGGAAGGCGCGACGGGUACGUCCAGGGUAGGAGUGAAAUCCCGUAAUCCUGGACGGACCGCCGAUGGCGAAAGCACGUCGCGAGAACGGAUCCGACAGUGAGGGACGAAAGCCAGGGUCUCGAACCGGAUUAGAUACCCGGGUAGUC